rnacentral:rRNA from 1 species
UACGGGGGGGGCAAGCGUUGUUCGGAAUUACUGGGCGUAAAGGGUUUGUAGGUGGCUUGUUAAGUCAGACGUGAAAUCCCUCAGCUUAACUGGGGAACUGCGUCUGAUACUGGCGAGCUUGAGUGCAGGAGAGGAACGCGGAAUUCCAGGUGUAGCGGUGAAAUGCGUAGAUAUCUGGAGGAACACCGGUGGCGAAGGCGGCGUUCUGGACUGUAACUGACACUGAGAAACGAAAGCCAGGGUAGCAAACGGG